UCCGGAGUAGUUUAAUGGUAGAACUAUGGACUCUGACUCCAUCAGUAGUGGUUCGAAUCCACUCUCCGGAUCCA
rnacentral:tRNA from 1 species